GACGUAGGGCGCGAGCGUUGUCCGGAUUUAUUGGGCGUAAAGAGCUCGUAGGCGGCUUGUCGCGUCGACUGUGAAAUCCCGCGGCUCAACUGCGGGUCUGCAGUCGAUACGGGCAGGCUAGAGUUCGGUAGGGGAGACUGGAAUUCCUGGUGUAGCGGUGAAAUGCGCAGAUAUCAGGAGGAACACCGGUGGCGAAGGCGGGUCUCUGGGCCGAUACUGACGUGAGGAGCGAAAGCGUGGGGAGCGAACAGG
rnacentral:rRNA from 1 species